GAUGUGCCCAGAUGGGAUUAGCUUGUUGGUGAGGUAACGGCUCACCAAGGCGACGAUCCCUAGCUGGUCUGAGAGGAUGACCAGCCACACUGGAACUGAGACACGGUCCAGACUCCUACGGGAGGCAGCAGUGGGGAAUAUUGCACAAUGGGCGCAAGCCUGAUGCAGCCAUGCCGCGUGUAUGAAGAAGGCCUUCGGGUUGUAAAGUACUUUCAGCGGGGAGGAAGGUGUUGUGGUUAAUAACCRCAGCAAUUGACGUUACCCGCAGAAGAAGCACCGGCUAACUCCGUGCCAGCAGCCGCGGUAAUACGGAGGGUGCAAGCGUUAAUCGGAAUUACUGGGCGUAAAGCGCACGCAGGCGGUCUGUCAAGUCGGAUGUGAAAUCCCCGGGCUCAACCUGGGAACUGCAUUCGAAACUGGCAGGCUUGAGUCUUGUAGAGGGGGGUAGAAUUCCAGGUGUAGCGGUGAAAUGCGUAGAGAUCUGGAGGAAUACCGGUGGCGAAGGCGGCCCCCUGGACAAAGACUGACGCUCAGGUGCGAAAGCGUGGGGAGCAAACAGGAUUAGAUACCCUGGUAGUCCACGCCGUAAACGAUGUCUACUUGGAGGUUGUGCCCUUGAGGCGUGGCUUCCGGAGCUAACGCGUUAAGUAGACCGCCUGGGGAGUACGGCCGCAAGGUUAAACUCAAAUGAAUUGACGGGGGCCCGCACAAGCGGUGGAGCAUGUGGUUUAAUUCGAUGCAACGCGAGAACCUUACCUGGUCUUGACAUCCACAGAACUUUUCAGAGAUGGAUUUGUGCCUUCGGGAACUGUGAAACAGGUGCUGCAUGGCUGUCGUCAGCUCGUGUGUGAAAUGUGGGUUAGUUCCGCACGAGCGCAACCCUUUAUUCUUUUGUUGCAGCGAUUAGUCGGUACUCAAGGAAACUGGCAGUGAUAACUGAGAGGUGGGAUGACGUCAGUCAUCAUGCCUACGCACUGC
rnacentral:rRNA from 1 species